rnacentral:rRNA from 1 species
ACCGGCAGCUCAAGUGGUGGCCAUUAUUAUUGGGCCUAAAGCGUUCGUAGCCGGUUUGAUAAGUCUCUGGUGAAAUCCCGCAGCUUAACUGUGGGACUUGCUGGAGAUACUAUCAGACUUGAGGUCGGGAGAGGUUAGGGGUACUCCCAGGGUAGGGGUGAAAUCCUAUAAUCCUGGGGGGAACAACUGUGGCGAAGGCGCAUAACUGGUACGAGUCUGAGGGUGUGUAUCGUUAUCCGGUGGCGCGAAACA